GAAAUUCCCUACCCCAAAUUGGUGGUCAAGUAAGGACUUCGUUCCCGACGGCUGCUUUAGCCUUGGAGUAGGGUGUGCCUGUGAGGGAAGAUCGCAGUCACUUGUGGAGAGUCGCUCCUCAGAACUCAUCGCUUUGAUGAGCGGCUGGAACUGGGGAGGAGGAUGCUCUUCUUCGCCAUCAUUUCGCCCGAAAUUUGAAAUUAGCGAGUUGGCCCCCGGCUUUGAAGAAUUCUACUAGAUUGUGUGAAGCCUCUUAACGAACGUGAACCGGUGCCUGACGCUUUGGUGCGGUGGGCACAGCAGAAAACGGAAAUUGAAGGGUUUUCCCACGCCGUGCCCAGUUGCCAUCCCGGAAAAAUGUAUUCCGUUCCUUUGGAGUUCUCAAAAGUAGGAGCCGGGUUAUGUAUAAAUUAUGCAUGCAAGUGUGGGACUUGGGGCGGCACUUAAGGGUUUUUCUUUUGAAGGGCAGUAGGAGAGUUUAAGUGGCCUUUACUUAUAUUAAGAGACACAGCGACAUCAUGCCCCGGUUUCGUCUGGGUUCUGUCCGUUUCAUGUGACAGGGAGGUGUUUGAGCUGUUGCUGUUAAGUGGAGGAGACCGGCGUGUGAGGGGGUGAGGAGGCUGGGCGCACUUUCCGUUCCUCGCGACGCUCCGUGUGUGGGCGUGGCUAAAGGAAGACGCCUAAUCCCGAGCGCUCUUCAGCGCGGCGUGUGGAUCGACUGGACAGGCUUCCGGUCAGACGAUGAGUUAACCGGGGAUCAGCGACACCAGAUAUUAAAAAAGCAAACUAUUCAAAGGCAUGAAACUACUGCAAGGAAGCGUGGUGGCUCAGUAGUAAAGAAUCCUCCUGCCAGUGCAAGAGACCUGUGUUCGGUCCCUGGGUCUGGAAGAUCACCUGGAGAAGGAAAUGGCAACCCACUCCAGUUUUCUUGCCUGGAAGAUCCCAUGCACAUUGGAACCUGGCGAGCUAAAGUCCAUGGGGUCUCAAAAGAGUGGGACAUGACUUAGUGACCAAACAACAAACAACAACAAAACAAAUGUUGAUUGCAUGUUGAGAUGAUAAUAUCUUGACUGUGU
ensembl:lncRNA